rnacentral:rRNA from 1 species
UACGGGGGGAGCAAGCGUUGUUCGGAUUUACUGGGCGUAAAGGGCGCGUAGGCGGCCCUCUUUGUCGCGUGUGAAAGCCCCGGGCUCAACCUGGGAACGGCGCGCGAAACGGGGGGGCUGGAGUUCGGGAGAGGAGCGUGGAAUUCCCAGUGUAGAGGUGAAAUUCGUAGAUAUUGGGAAGAACACCGGUGGCGAAGGCGGCGCUCUGGACCGAGACUGACGCUGAGGCGCGAAAGCGUGGGGAGCAAACAGG